GGAUACAUUGCCAAUCGCUGCUACUGAAAAUCAGAAACAUGGUUACUUAAAGAUCAAUUUUAAAGUAUAAUGUAACACCUUUUACUGAAAGGAUUACUUGUAUCUAACGAAUCUUCCAUUUCGUCCGAUUUUAAAGUGCUUAUAACUCCUUGUCAAAGACUUUAACAUUUUGAAUAGACAAGCAAACAAGAAUCAAUCACACUAAUUUCAUGCAGAGUCAGUUUACCGUAAAUGUGCAUGAUAAGCUAAUUUAGGAGUUUAAAUGAACGUCUUUCUCAUUUAAGGUGAACAAACCUUUUUACCUGUUAUAACAGAUUAAGUGAUAAUAACUGAAUGAUAUGUCUCACUUAUUUUAAUAAACUACAACACAUUUGUAUGUCAGUUAAAAUUUAUGACGUCCGAGUUAUCUGCCCAUCUAUGCAUAUCCGGUAUCUUCAUGUCAUGGACACUACAGAGUUAAUGAUGGAAGACGGAUCAGAUUAAAAUCAGUCUGCUGUCUGAUCAUAUAUCUUGUUUCAGUCGUUACGACAUCUCAAUUCGCUUCAUCGACC
rnacentral:lncRNA from 1 species